AACGAACGCUGGCGGCAGGCUUAACACAUGCAAGUCGAACGGGUGUAGCAAUACAUCAGUGGCAGACGGGUGAGUAACACGUGGGAACCUUCCUAGGGGUACGGAACAACUCAGGGAAACUUGAGCUAAUACCGUAUACGUCCGUGAGGAGAAAGAUUUAUCGCCCUUAGACGGGCCCGCGUCGGAUUAGCUAGUUGGUGGGGUAACGGCCUACCAAGGCGACGAUCCGUAGCUGAUCUUAGAGGAUGAUCAGCCACACUGGGACUGAGACACGGCCCAGACUCCUACGGGAGGCAGCAGUGGGGAAUCAUGGACAAUGGGCGCAAGCCUGAUCCAGCCAUACCGCGUGAGUGAAGAAGAUCUUCGGAUUGUAAAGCUCUUUUGCCAGGGACGAUAAUGACGGUACCUGGAGAAUAAGCCCCGGCAAACUUCGUGCCAGCAGCCGCCGUAA
rnacentral:rRNA from 1 species